rnacentral:lncRNA from 1 species
GCUGGGCAUGGUGGCACAUGCCUGUAAUCCCAGCUACUCGGGAGGCUGAGGCAGGAGAAUUGCUUGAACCCAGGAGGCAGAGGUUGUAGUGAGCCAAGAUCGUGCCACUGCACUCCAGUCUGGGCGACAAAGUGAGACGCUGUAUCAAAAAAAAAAAAAAAAAAAGAGGCAGGAUCUUGCUCUGUCAUCCAGGCUGGAGUGCAGUGUCACCUUCAUAGCUCACUGGAGCCUCAAACUCCUGGGCUCAAGUGAUUCUUCUAC